UACGUAGGGACCAAGCGUUGUCCGGAAUCAUUGGGCGUAAAGAGCGUGUAGGCGGCCAUUUAAGUCCUGCGUGAAAUCUCGGGGCUCAACCCCGAGCGGUCGUGGGAAACUGGAUGGCUAGAGUGCGGGAGAGGAGAGUGGAAUUCCUGGUGUAGCGGUGGAAUGCGCAGAUAUCAGGAGGAACACCGGUGGCGAAGGCGGUUCUCUGGGAAUGUCCUGACGCUGAGGAGCGAAAGUGUGGGGGAGCGAACAGG
rnacentral:rRNA from 1 species